UCUUGUGGAACGGUUUAUCCUCUAUGAAUUCGAGCUUAAAUGCGGACUAUAUCGUUAAAAACAUCUGCAAGAAAACGUGCAAAAGGAACAGGUGCAGAGCCAAGAAUCGAGUGAGAAUGGAAGAUGGCCUCAACAGAAAUGGGAAAUCACACCACAAAAUCGGCUUCAAGCCUUGCCAAGCCAAGCUCUUGAAUGUCAAAGAGGAAACGUUACCAAAUGGAGGAUUUCAACGAUAAAACUGGAAUGUUUCGAGCAACUGUUUCGAGUGCCAUAUAACGGGCAGACCAGCGGACCACCAUCUCGUCAUGUGUCAUAAUUUGUGUGAAGCACGGCACUGCACAGCACCGAACAGAGGAGGAGCAGAAAUAUCAGAAACUGGUGCCAAAAUCCCACCAAAAUCGAAGCAGAGAAACCAGAGACAAACGGUAUUAACCCGUCAUACAGGUGUCGUUGUCUGUCGUUUUCUGUGUGUGAAUGUGUAUCCGAUUCUCUCCUCUAAUAACUUUUAUAAUCGAUGAUCUUGUAUGACUUGUUGUUCGCUCGUUCGUUCGGGGCCUCGCCGUCGUGUAGGCCAAAAGAAUCUUGUUUUUUCAGUUAUGCAUUCAACACAAAGGCCAACAAAAACCGCAACGCGAGAGACGAUGAGGAGAGAGAAGACGCGCCAGUCAGAUAUUUAUCAAUAUAUAGAAACCCGCUGCCAAUACUGGAAUUUUCUUGGGCGUUCUUAAAGGAAAUCUGUACACCCAUAAAUCCCGGUGUGGAGCCCAAAAGAAGUCCGAAACAGAGGAAGAGCCAUAGAUACAUAUGGUAAUCAUUGGAUGCCCGGCCCCCACCGUGUGAUGAAAGACUCGUGUUGGCCGUUUGCCGUUUGCCGUUUUGAAGAUGAUAUUUGCAUAAAACAAUCCGUUUGCUGAUCAGCCAAGCAGCAAAUAAACAAUUUGCAAAACAGAUCUUUUGUUAUGCGAUGAGUUUUUGUUUUUUUUUGUUCCCCCUCUGUUUAUCUGUAGAAUCAUCUGUCCAUAAUUCCACGCGAGUGAAGGAGAAGAAGAAGAAGUUGUA